UACGAAGGGGGCUAGCGUUGUUCGGAAUUACUGGGCGUAAAGGGUUCGUAGGUGGCUUGCUCAGUCAGACGUGAAAUCCCUCAGCUUAACUGGGGAACUGCGCCUGAUACUGGCGAGCUUGAGUGCAGGAGAGGAACGCGGAAUUCCAGGUGUAGCGGUGAAAUGCGUAGAUAUCAGAAGGAACAUCAGUGGCGAAGGCGGCUUUCUGGACCAAUACUGACGAUCAGGUGCGAAAGCGUGGGGAGCAAACAGG
rnacentral:rRNA from 1 species